rnacentral:misc_RNA from 1 species
UCCGAGUUGACCCCGGCAGUCUCCUACGAGUCCCCGGCAUAACCCGCUGGCAACAUAGGACAAGGGUUGCGCUCGUUGCGGGACUUAACCCAACAUCUCACGACACGAGCUGACGACAGCCAUGCAGCACCUGUCUCCAGGUUCCCGAAGGCACUCCCGCAUCUCUGCAGGAUUCGACAGAUGUCAAGACCAGAUAAGGUUCUUCGCGUUGCAUCGAAUUAAACCACAUGCUCCACCGCUUGUGCGGGUCCCCGUCAAUUCAUUUGAGUUUCAACCUUGCGGCCGUACUCCCCAGGCGGAGAACUUAACGCGUUAGCUACGACACCGAAGGGCAGACCCCUCCGACAUCCAGUUCUCAUCGUUUAUGGCGUGGACUAC